rnacentral:snRNA from 1 species
AGCUUUGCGCAGUGGCAGUAUCAUAGCCGAUGAGGUUUGUCCAAGGCGCGAUUAUUGCUAAUUGAAAACUUUUCCCAAUACCUUGCCAUGACGACUUGAAAUAUAGUCAGCAUUGGCAAUUUUUGACAGUCUCUAAGGAAA